GAUGAACGCUGGCGGCGUGCCUAAUACAUGCAAGUCGAGCGAACGGACGAGAAGCUUGCUUUUCUGAUGUUAGCGGCGGACGGGUGAGUAACACGUGGAUAACCUACCUAUAAGACUGGGAUAACUUCGGGAAACCGGAGCUAAUACCGGAUAAUAUUUUGAACCGCAUGGUUCAAAAGUGAAAGACGGUCUUGCUGUCACUUAUAGAUGGAUCCGCGCUGCAUUAGCUAGUUGGUAAGGUAACGGCUUACCAAGGCAACGAUGCAUAGCCGACCUGAGAGGGUGAUCGGCCACACUGGAACUUGGACACGGUCCAGACUCCUACGGGAGGCAGCAGUAGGGAAUCUUCCGCAAUGGGCGAAAGCCUGACGGAGCAACGCCGCGUGAGUGAUGAAGGUCUUCGGAUCGUAAAACUCUGUUAUUAGGGAAGAACAUAUGUGUAAGUAACUGUGCACAUCUUGACGGUACCUAAUCAGAAAGCCACGGCUAACUACGUG
rnacentral:rRNA from 1 species